UACGUAGGGUGCGAGCGUUAAUCGGAAUUACUGGGCGUAAAGCGUGCGCAGGCGGUUCGUUAUGUCCGAUGUGAAAGCCCCGAGCUCAACUUGGGAAUGGCAUUGGAAACUGGCGGGCUGGAGUGUGGCAGAGGGGGGUGGAAUUCCCAGUGUAGAGGUGAAAUUCGUAGAUAUUGGGAAGAACACCGGUGGCGAAGGCGGCGCUCUGGACCGAGACUGACGCUGAGGCGCGAAAGCGUGGGGAGCAAACAGGG
rnacentral:rRNA from 1 species